rnacentral:tRNA from 1 species
UGUCGUGUAGUAUAAUGAAUAGUACUUCAGACUUUGACUCUGAAAGUGAUGGUUCAAGUCCAUCCACGACAUCCA